rnacentral:rRNA from 1 species
GAUGAACGCUGGCGGCGUGCCUAAUACAUGCAAGUCGAGCGAACGGACGAGAAGCUUGCUUCUCUGAUGUUAGCGGCGGACGGGUGAGUAACACGUGGAUAACCUACCUAUAAGACUGGGAUAACUUCGGGAAACCGGAGCUAAUACCGGAUAAUAUUUUGAACCGCAUGGUUCAAAAGUGAAAGACGGUCUUGCUGUCACUUAUAGAUGGAUCCGCGCUGCAUUAGCUAGUUGGUAAGGUAACGGCUUACCAAGGCAACGAUGCAUAGCCGACCUGAGAGGGUGAUCGGCCACACUGGAACUGAGACACGGUCCAGACUCCUACGGGAGGCAGCAGUAGGGAAUCUUCCGCAAUGGGCGAAAGCCUGACGGAGCAACGCCGCGUGAGUGAUGAAGGUCUUCGGAUCGUAAAACUCUGUUAUUAGGGAAGAACAUAUGUGUAAGUAACUGUGCACAUCUUGACGGUACCUAAUCAGAAAGCCACGGCUAACUACGUGCCAGCAGCCGCGGUAAUACGUAGGUGGCAAGCGUUAUCCGGAAUUAUUGGGCGUAAAGCGCGCGUAGGCGGUUUUUUAAGUCUGAUGUGAAAGCCCACGGCUCAACCGUGGAGGGUCAUUGGAAACUGGAAAACUUGAGUGCAGAAGAGGAAAGUGGAAUUCCAUGUGUAGCGGUGAAAUGCGCAGAGAUAUGGAGGAACACCAGUGGCGAAGGCGACUUUCUGGUCUGUAACUGACGCUGAUGUGCGAAAGCGUGGGGAUCAAACAGGAUUAGAUACCCUGGUAGUCCACGCCGUAAACGAUGAGUGCUAAGUGUUAGGGGGUUUCCGCCCCUUAGUGCUGCAGCUAACGCAUUAAGCACUCCGCCUGGGGAGUACGACCGCAAGGUUGAAACUCAAAGGAAUUGACGGGGACCCGCACAAGCGGUGGAGCAUGUGGUUUAAUUCGAAGCAACGCGAAGAACCUUACCAAAUCUUGACAUCCUUUGACAACUCUAGAGAUAGAGCUUUCCCCUUCGGGGGACAAAGUGACAGGUGGUGCAUGGUUGUCGUCAGCUCGUGUCGUGAGAUGUUGGGUUAAGUCCCGCAACGAGCGCAACCCUUAAGCUUAGUUGCCAUCAUUAAGUUGGGCACUCUAAGUUGACUGCCGGUGACAAACCGGAGGAAGGUGGGGAUGACGUCAAAUCAUCAUGCCCCUUAUGAUUUGGGCUACACACGUGCUACAAUGGACAAUACAAAGGGCAGCGAAACCGCGAGGUCAAGCAAAUCCCAUAAAGUUGUUCUCAGUUCGGAUUGUAGUCUGCAACUCGACUACAUGAAGCUGGAAUCGCUAGUAAUCGUAGAUCAGCAUGCUACGGAAAUACGUUCCCGGGUCU